rnacentral:SRP_RNA from 1 species
CCGUGCUAGGCGGGGAGCUAGCGGUGCCCUGAACCCGCAAUCCGCUAUAGCGGGGUCGAAUUCCUGCUCGAGGGCUGGGUCUCUGGGGACUGUCCUUGUUAAGCGGCGUUGACGAUCUGGUCCUGCGCGGCGAGGCGCCUCGAACCUGGUCAGGUCCGGAAGGAAGCAGCCAUAAGGGGAACGCUUCGGGUGCCGCAGGUCAACCGGGUCCGAGCUGGCUGACGUAAGACAAGCCCGGUGCUCAGUUCGACAGCAGGUGCACGG